rfam:Triticum urartu cultivar G1812 contig657822, whole genome shotgun sequence.
GUAGUACUCCCUCCGUUCGGAAUUACUUGUCACAAAAAUGGAUGUAUCUACAACUAAAAUACAUCUAGAUACAUUCAUUUCUUGGACGAGUAGUUCCGAACGGAGGGAGUAUGUA